rnacentral:lncRNA from 1 species
GCUCUGGCCUGGACCAAGAGAAUGCAGUUAAAAUCAAGAAAUGGCUUCCAUUCUGUGAGCUGUGACUUCUAACGUGGCCACAUAGCUGGUGGAGAGGUGACAACCUUCAUCUCCAAGGAUCCCCUGCACUGCUUGCUUUAUGCCCAGAGCAACCUCAUGCUGACAAGGACUGCACAGUUUUGAACACCCAUGCUCCAAUCAAAAGAAACCAAUUUGUGAGAGACGAUAUAAAUCCAUGAAUACUGCACUGAAACCUCUUUCUGCUCCAGGCAGAGAAGAUAAAUUACCACCCGAGUGAUAUAAAGUUAGUUUGAAUAUUUCAUUGGAUCAAAUGCAACAUGUCUCAGAACCUCUCCUCUUUUAAGUCAGAAUUAAAGAAUUGUUAUCAGGCAUAAUAAUAGACACUAUCAUU